rnacentral:rRNA from 1 species
GACGAACGCUGGCGGCGUGCUUAAUACAUGCAAGUCGAACGGAGUUACUUUAGAAGCUUGCUUUUGGAGUAACUUAGUGGCGGACGGGUGAGUAACGCGUGGGCAACCUGCCCUCUAGUCGGGGACAACAGCUCGAAAGGGCUGCUAAAACCGGAUAUGCUCACACCCGGACAUCCGGGAGUGAGAAAAAGCGAUGCUAGAGGAUGGGCCCGCGUUCCAUUAGCUAGUUGGUGAGGUAACGGCCCACCAAGGCGACGAUGGAUAGCCGACCUGAGAGGGUGAACGGCCACACUGGGACUGAGACACGGCCCAGACUCCUACGGGAGGCAGCAGUAGGGAAUUUUCCGCAAUGGGCGAAAGCCUGACGGAGCAACGCCGCGUGAGGGAUGAAGGUUUUCGGAACGUAGACCUCUGUCUAGAGGGACGAUAAUGACGGUACCUCUGGAGGAAGCCACGGCUAACUACGUGCCAGCCGCCGCGGUAAAAC